AACGAACGCUGGCGGCAGGCUUAACACAUGCAAGUCGAGCGCCCGCACAGGGAGGGGUCGCACGGGUGGGUAGCGCGUGGGAACGUACUUUUGGGUUCGGAACAACCCCGGUAAACGGGGGGGAAAACGGAGGAAGCCUUACGGGGAAAAGAUUUAAGGCCGAAGGGUGGGGCCGGGGGAUAUUAGCACGUUGGGGGGGUAACUGCGCACAAAGCCGAGGAGCAGUAGGGGGGGUGAGAGGAUGACCAGCCACACGGGGACUGAGAAACGGCCCAGACUCCUACGGGAGGCAGCAGAGGGGAAUAUUGGACAAUCGGCGCAAGCCUGAUCCAGCCAUGCCGGGUGAGUGAUGAAGGCGUUAGGGUUGUAAAGCUCUUUUGUCCGCGAAGAUAAUGACUGUACCGGAAGAAUAAGCCCCGGCUAACUUCGUG
rnacentral:rRNA from 1 species